UUCGGCAGCGGUUAGAAUUGAAGGGUGAGUGCAGAGACGUAGCAGAACAUGUAUUGAGUUGGAGUUUGACGAAAUUCCCGAGGAUGCGGCUCUCCAUCCCACAUGCUACCGGAGGUUUAUUGACAAGCGGGAAAUUGAACGAGUCACACGGCGUGUCUUGCGAGAGGCAGAGAGGGGAGAUGGCCAACAAGACCCCCGAACUAGCCAGGCUACCUCCGCUUUAUCGGCUGUGACCACCACUCCGACCAGGAAACUGCGAUCCAGAUCAAGCUUGGCCAUCACGAGCUCUGGCCCCGUUCUUCCUGCUGUCUGCAUGAUUUGCAAGAAAGACAGCAAAUUUAUCGUCGCGAGUGGCAGACGUCAAAGAGAACGAAAACACAGACUUUAACCGCAGGCAAGUUGCAGGAAGCAGCUGAAGUAAAGGAAGCCAAGAGCAUCCUCAUUCACAUCAAGGACAGAGACUGUGUGGCUCUGGAGGUGCAGUACCACAGAAGUUGCUACAGAGAGUACACAAGGUUUUUGAGUGAGCCUGUCAGAACAGAGAAAGAACAGAUUGGGCCAACAUUUGAUCUGAGCUACAAGUUAUUCUGCGAGAGGGUAAUCCGCUAAAGGCUACUGAUCAACCAAGAGGUGCUGAGGAUGAGCCAACUGAGGAAGGCCUUUAUUGCCCUUGUGCAGUCAAGUGAAGGUGUUGAUGCUUCAACCUACAGACAGGAUAUAUUGAAGAAGAGGCUCAGUCGUGAUUUUCCUCAGCUAGUGUUCCACACCCCCGCCAAACGCAACACAUCUGAACUGGUUUUUGCUGAGAACUUGUCGACGAAUGCAGUCUUGAACUUGUUACCAUCAGGUGCGGAGACGACUCAGUCCAGUGAAAUGAGCCAGACAGACAGCGACACAGAAAGGAGGAAGUCAAAGCAACCAACCACAGCAGAGGAGACACGGACACUUUACACAGCAGCUUUGCUUUUGAAGAGGCUGCUUAGUCACAGUCCUGGCAUGUCAUGCCCAUGGCCCCCAACUGCAGUAAACUUCAAUCUCACUGAAGUCAUUUGCUGUGGCAUGCGCAAAAGAUGUGUACCUGGAUGCUUUCACACAGUUCAUGAAAAUGCCGGUUCAUGUGUAUGCCACUUGUUUUGAUUUUUUAUUUGUUGUAUAGUUAU